GCCUUAAAAGCUCAUGUAGCAUUGGUUUUGUAAAUCAAAGGUAGAACUUAACAUUUCUUAAGGCU
rnacentral:tRNA from 1 species